GUGCUCACUCUGGCAGCACAUAUACUGGAAUUGGAACCAUGCAAGGAAGAUUAGUUGGCCCCUGCGCAGGGGUGACACAAAUCCAGUCUGUGAAGUGUUCCAUAUUAAA